GACGAACGCUGGCGGCGCGCUUAACACAUGCAAGUCGAGCGAGAACCAGGCCUUCGGGCCUGGGGGAAGCGGCGAACGGGUGAGUAACACGUGGGCAACCCACCCUUGGUACUGGGAUAGCCCGGGGAAACCCGGAUUAAUACCGGAUGGCCCAGCAGCUCUUCGGGGCGGCUGGAAAAGGUAGCUUCGGCCUCCGACCAAGGACGGGCCCGCGGCGGAUUAGCUUGUUGGUGAGGUAACGGCUCACCAAGGCGACGAUCCGUAGCUGGUCUGAGAGGACGAUCAGCCAGACUGGGGAUGAGACACGGCCCAGACUCCUACGGGAGGCAGCAGUGGGGAAUCUUGCGCAAUGGGCGAAAGCCUGACGCAGCGACGCCGCGUGGGGGAAGAAGGCUUUCGGGUUGUAAACCCCUUUCAGGAGGGACGAAGCCACUCGGGUGAAUAGCCCAGAGGGUGACGGUACCUCCAGAAGAAGCCCCGGCUAACUACGUGCCAGCAGCCGCGGUAACAC
rnacentral:rRNA from 1 species